rnacentral:rRNA from 1 species
CACGUAGGAGGCGAGCGUUGUCCGGAAUCAUUGGGCGUAAAGAGCGCGCAGGCGGCUUGGCAAGUCGGGUGUGAAAACCCGAGGCUCAACCUCGGGCCUGCAGUCGAUACGGGCAAACUAGAGUACUGCAGGGGAGACUGGAAUUCCCGGUGUAGUGGUGAAAUUCGUAGAUAUUGGGAAGAACACCGAUGGCGAAGGCAGCCAUCUGGACCGACACUGACGCUGAGGCGCGAAAGCGUGGGGAGCAAAGCAGG